AACGCUGGCGGCAGGCCUAACACAUGCAAGUCGAACGGUAACAGGAUGUGCUUGCACAUCGCUGACGAGUGGCGGACGGGUGAGUAAUGCUUGGGAACUUGCCUUUGCGAGGGGGAUAACAGUUGGAAACGACUGCUAAUACCGCAUAAUGUCUUCGGACCAAACGGGGCUCCGGCUCCGGCGCAAAGAGAGGCCCAAGUGAGAUUAGCUAGUUGGUAAGGUAACGGCUUACCAAGGCGACGAUCUCUAGCUGUUCUGAGAGGAAGAUCAGCCACACUGGGACUGAGACACGGCCCAGACUCCUACGGGAGGCAGCAGUGGGGAAUAUUGCACAAUGGGGGAAACCCUGAUGCAGCCAUGCCGCGUGUGUGAAGAAGGCCUUCGGGUUGUAAAGCACUUUCAGUUGUGAGGAAAAGUUAGUAGUUAAUACCUGCUAGCCGUGACGUUAACAACAGAAGAAGCACCGGCUAACUCCGUGCCAGCAGCCGCGGUAAUACGGAGGGUGCGAGCGUUAAUCGGAAUUACUGGGCGUAAAGCGCACGCAGGCGGUUUGUUAAGCUAGAUGUGAAAGCCCCGGGCUCAACC
rnacentral:rRNA from 1 species